GACGAACGCUGGCGGCGUGCUUAACACAUGCAAGUCGAACGGAAAGGCCCUGCUUUUGUGGGGUGCUCGAGUGGCGAACGGGUGAGUAACACGUGAGUAACCUGCCAUUGACUUUGGGAUAACUUCAGGAAACUGGGGCUAAUACCGGAUAGGAGCUCCUGCUGCAUGGUGGGGGUUGGAAAGUUUCGGCGGUUGGGGAUGGACUCGCGGCUUAUCAGCUUGUUGGUGGGGUAGUGGCUUACCAAGGCUUUGACGGGUAGCCGGCCUGAGAGGGUGACCGGCCACAUUGGGACUGAGAUACGGCCCAGACUCCUACGGGAGGCAGCAGUGGGGAAUAUUGCACAAUGGGCGGAAGCCUGAUGCAGCAACGCCGCGUGCGGGAUGACGGCCUUCGGGUUGUAUACCGCUUUCGCCUGUGACGAAGCGUGAGUGACGGUAAUGGGUAAAGAAGCACCGGCUAACUACGUG
rnacentral:rRNA from 1 species